rnacentral:rRNA from 1 species
ACGCACGCUGGCGGCGUGCUUCACCCAUGCAAGUCGAACGGAAAGGCCCCUUUGGGGGUACUCGAGUGGCGAACGGGUGAGUAACACGUGAGUAACCUGCCCUUGACUUCGGGAUAACUUCAGGAAACUGGGGCUAAUACCGGAUAGGAAUCCUUGCUGCAUGGUGGGGGUUGGAAAGCUUCGGCGGUUUUGGAUGGACUCGCGGCUUAUCAGCUUGUUGGUGGGGUAGUGGCUUACCAAGGCUUUGACGGGUAGCCGGCCUGAGAGGGCGACCGGCCACAUUGGGACUGAGAUACGGCCCAGACUCCUACGGGAGGCAGCAGUGGGGAAUAUUGCACAAUGGGCAGAAGCCUGAUGCAGCAACGCCGCGUGCGGGAUGACGGCCUUCGGGUUGUAAACCGCUUUCAGCAGGGGCGAAGCUUGUGGUGACGGUACCUGCAGAAGAAGCACCGGCUAACUACGUG